rnacentral:rRNA from 1 species
GAUGAACGCUAGCUACAGGCUUAACACAUGCAAGUCGAGGGGCAGCAUGACCUAGCAAUAGGAUGAUGGCGACCGGCGCACGGGUGAGUAACACGUAUCCAACCUGCCGAUUAUUCCGGGAUAGCCUUUCGAAAGAAAGAUUAAUACUGGAUAGCAUAACGAGAAGGCAUCUUCUUGUUAUUAAAGAAUUUCGAUAAUCGAUGGGGAUGCGUUCCAUUAGUUUGUUGGCGGGGUAACGGCCCACCAAGACAUCGAUGGAUAGGGGUUCUGAGAGGAAGGUCCCCCACAUUGGAACUGAGACACGGUCCAAACUCCUACGGGAGGCAGCAGUGAGGAAUAUUGGUCAAUGGACGAGAGUCUGAACCAGCCAAGUAGCGUGAAGGAUGACUGCCCUAUGGGUUGUAAACUUCUUUUAUAUGGGAAUAAAGUGGGCCACGUGUGGCUUUUUGUAUGUACCAUACGAAUAAGGAUCGGCUAACUCCGUG